rnacentral:rRNA from 1 species
GACCUCAGUUCAGACAAGGCUACCCGCCGAAUUUAA